UACAGAGGGGGCAAGCGUUGUUCGGAAUUACUGGGCGUAAAGGGCGCGUAGGCGGCCCGCUAAGUCGAACGUGAAAUCCCCAGGCUUAACCUGGGAACUGCGUCCGAUACUGGCAGGCUUGAAUCCGGGAGAGGGAUGUGGAAUUCCAGGUGUAGCGGUGAAAUGCGUAGAUAUCUGGAGGAACACCGGUGGCGAAGGCGGCAUCCUGGACCGGCAUUGACGCUGAGGCGCGAAAGCGUGGGGAGCAAACAGG
rnacentral:rRNA from 1 species